UGUCAAACAAAUUUGUUAUGAAAUGUGAUGAUGCAUGGCAUGAAAAUUUUUCUAUGGUUUAUUUUUGCUACUCUCGGCAGCUUUAGAUCCGGAACUUAGCUGUAACUACCUUAGUCAGUGCUGAGCAUUGACGUACGUGGAUGGACAGAAUAGUACUUCUAGAAGAAAUAUUAACAGAAGGGUAUAUUUGGCCGUCAACGCGUACCACCCUAUCUAAGGAACUUCGUCCCAUUACAUCUCACACACAGAUUUGCAUGCUGUUUUUCAUCACAAUACUUUUGGCUAAAUCAACGAAACGGUACCAAAAUCCGCUCGGACUGCCUUCAAUCAAAUAAUUGCUGCUGCAUUCACUCAUCAACCAACUGAUUCAUCACAGAAACUGCGUUGGGAUGGCCAACGUGAAGAAUUUUGAUAAAAUUUGAAAAGAACUACCUAGUGACACGAUUUGUCACUUUGAAAAAUAAUUUUAUAACCUACAAUUUGUUCACGCUCGAUAUCUAAAUGAGCUUUUUGGAUUGUAUAUCACAGUUUAGGUUUUUGAAAAAUAAAUCACUAUGGUUUUUGCUGUCUUUUCAUUCCCUCCGACCAAUAACACAAACACAGAAACAAUUUAAAAUUUGACUAGAUUUGCAACUCACUUUAUAAACGAUCGUUUUUCAUGCUUUUCACAUUUAACUUUUGGACAACAGUAACCCCUCUAACAUAAAUGAAAAUUCCGUGUGCAUUGUGGAUUAGAGUGGAAUCAAUCGCUCACUGCUAAUCGCUAUUUUAAGGAAUCCGGGCAGUUUUCCCAGAGACCUCCGUGGGUGUUUAGUGUACUCAAGUGAUCCCGAACUGUACCCUCAAAGCUAGCUGGUAAGACUA